rnacentral:misc_RNA from 1 species
GAUGAAGAACGCAGCGAAAUGCGAUACGUAAUGUGAAUUGCAGAAUUCAGUGAAUCAUCGAAUCUUUGAACGCACAUUGCGCCUGCCAGCACUCUGGCAGGCAUGCCUGUUCGAGCGUCAUUUCAACCAUCAAGCCCUAGGCUUGCGUUGGAGCCCUGCGGCUGCCGCAGGCCCCUAAAAGCAGUGGCGGGCUCGCUAUCACACCGAGUGCAGUAGAUUACUCUUCGCUCAGGGCGUGUGGCGGGUUCCAGCCGUGAAACCCCCUACUUCUCAAGGUUGACCUCGGAUCAGGUAGUAAUACCCGCUGAACUUAAGCAUAUCAAUAAGCGGAGGA